ensembl:lncRNA
AAUGGAAGACGUGUUGUUGCCAUUCUCUGGGGUGGUCCCAGUCCUCACGUGGACUUGGUACUGGUUUUCUAACGAGAGCUGACAGCCGUGGGCACAGCAGAUGAAUGCCAGCAGAGGCGUGUGCUAGGUUUGCAGCCUGAAUUGCUUCUCCAACCAGCUGGUGCUGUGCAGCUGUGAGCAGGAGACAGACACGUCAUGGUGGUGCUUGGGUAUGAGCUGCUGCGCAACCUCUGUGGCUGACCUCCUCCUCAUGUCCCCUGCUGCCAAGCUGUAGGGGCCUUAGUGGGGCCACGCUCCCCUGGUAUCGAAGAAAACACUCAGAGCCGCGUCGGACUGAGGCAAAAGGUUUGUUUUAAGCCAUCUAUGCUGCCCCGUGGCUGUGAGAAAUGCUCCAUCAACCCAGAGCGUGCUGCACAGGAGGCUCCUGCAGAUGCUGCGGAGGAGUGAGACGUUGUGCACCCUCAAGGCGCACCAUGGCACGUCAGCAACGUGGCACCUUUCAGUGAUGGCGCUGCACGAUACCUCUGGGGUUUUCCAUCCCCAACGGCAGCCAAGGGCAGCGCUGCCAAACCCAUCUGAACUGCACCUGCCCCGGCUGGGGCCAAACCGGGCCGCUUCCAGCCCACACAUCCCUGUUUCUGUUGGGAAGGUGCAGGGCGCGCUCAUUUUCAGAUGCUUCCUGCAGCAGCAGCAUCUGUUUCCUGCCCUGAGCGCUACACCCACACAGUGCCAGGCGGCUGCAGCCCCUCCAGAGCUGGGGAGAUGAGUGGUGCUCCUGCCCAGGGCUGGGCUGCGUGGGGCACACAGUGUGUGUAGGUACAGAGAUGUACUGCCAUGGCACAUCAGCCUUCUGCUCGUUGUAUUGAUGAGGUUGGAGCGUUUGGAUUCCUUUGCUGCCAAAUACAGCGUAUUGUGCUUCAUAAAAGUAGUUGGGAUCUGAAGCAGCCUUUCUGCACUGAUGAAACUGGCAGCGGGAGGAGCUUUGUGCAAGAAACGUUGGAGUUGGCUGCACAGAAUCCCCUUUGUUCCCCUACCACCCUGCAGCCCCAUGCGGGAUAAGCUCCUGCUGAGCCCUGCAGAACUUCAGCCCUGGCUUUGCUGCUGCACAGAAAGCAGCUGGAGUAGGUUUGUGAGCCAGCAAUCUAAGGCUUUGUUUGAGAUUAGGAUUCAGAGGUGUAUUUUUAGAUCCUGCUAUUUAGCUGGAGCCCGCAGAGCUCCGAGCAGUGCCCAGGGCCCAUGCUGGGUGCUGGGAUGGCUCCGGUGCAGCAGAGCUCAGGGAUGGUGCAGUGCAAUGGGGUUAAACUGGGCCUCGGUGUCCGGUCCCAGCGCUGGAUGGAUUUGCCAUUUAAAGGCUGCAGUCAGCGCUUGUUUCUUGGAUGGCUCCAGCAAAAGGCUUCCAGCUAUUCCCUGAGGACCCUCCUACAUCCUGGUGAGAUAAGGAUCAGGAAGGGAAUGGUCUAACUGCAAUCUCAGCAGCGGCUCUGAGCACAGAUUUGCUUUUCACAUUGGGGGUGGAGGACAGAAGAGACUUGAUAGAAAAACAAGUAUUUCUAAGUGACGAUCACACGCAGGAAA